rnacentral:lncRNA from 1 species
UUCACCUCGAAAAAAUAAAUGGUGUCUGCCGUCCGACCGGUAUUCUAGAAUAUGCUCUUAGGUACAAAAAAGGUUGGGGACCUCUGCUCUAGACAAUCUUGCCCGUUGCAGACUAGCUUUACUCACAGAAAAGGAGGAAGCAGAGGCAAACUGCUCCACCAUCCCACCGCCCUAGGGCAUGCUAGCAACCCCAGCCUCUCAAUGGGUAAACUGGAACUGUCAACCCUGCAAUGGGGUAGAGUAGCAGGCCUCUGAGAAAAAGUGUUACUGUCAACAAUAAGAACGUACUGGAGAAGCAUAAAGGGGGUCACCACCUGGUUAUCCUCCAAUAUGGGUGGAAGGCUGACUAUGACAAGGUUUUGCCU